UACGGAGGAUGCAAGCGUUAUCCGGAAUGAUUGGGAGUAAAGCGUCCGCAGGCGGCUAUGUAAGUCUGCUGUUAAAGAGUGAGGCUCAACCUCAUAAAAGCAGUGGAAACUACAUGGCUAGAGUGCGUUCGGGGCAGAGGGAAUUCCUGGUGUAGCGGUGAAAUGCGUAGAGAUCAGGAAGAACACCGGUGGCGAAAGCGCUCUGCUAGGCCGCAACUGACACUGAGGGACGAAAGCUAGGGGAGCGAAUGGG
rnacentral:rRNA from 1 species